GACGAACGCUGGCGGCGUGCUUAACACAUGCAAGUCGAACGAUGAAGCCAGCUUGCUGGUGGAUUAGUGGCGAACGGGUGAGUAACACGUGGGUGAUCUGCCCCAAACUUUGGGAUAAGCCUGGGAAACUGGGUCUAAUACCGAAUAUGACCGAUACUCGCAUGGGUGUUGGUGGAAAGCUCCGGCGGUUUGGGAUGGGCCCGCGGCCUAUCAGCUUGUUGGUGGGGUAAUGGCCUACCAAGGCGACGACGGGUAGCCGGCCUGAGAGGGCGACCGGCCACACUGGGACUGAGACACGGCCCAGACUCCUAUGGGAGGCAGCAGUGGGGAAUAUUGCACAAGGGGCGAAAGCCUGAUGCAGCGACGCCGCGUGAGGGAUGACGGCCUUCGGGUUGUAAACCUCUUUCACCAGGGACGAAGCGAAAGUGACGGUACCUGGAGAAGAAACACCGGCCAACUACGU
rnacentral:rRNA from 1 species